UCCUACGUUGUUGAACUUAGAAAGAAAGCAAAAGAAAUGAUAACUUUUGCUUUUUCUGGAAGCGGCGACUUUUGGGUGUUGGCUAACGGCUUCAACUGCAUUCUGGUGAUUGUUUACGGCGACCGGUGAGUGUUAAUGACGAGUUAGACUGGUAGGGUGGACCUGUGGUUGGCGAUUUUGGAGUUUUGGGUUCAUUUACAGUGUUGACGAUAAGGGUUUGGGGUUGUUAUUAGAGAGUUUUUUCAGCGAAGGGCAUGUUUUUUUGGCGAACGGCAAGUUCUUUGGUGGCUUCCAAUGACAGUUGGUCUACUGACUCAUGGCUUUCGAAGUCGUUCACCGUUGAGGCGGGUAACGAUAAGGUUUGCGUUUGCAAGUGGUUGAACUUGUGGAGGACUGGAAGUAGUCAUCUUUUUUGGAACCUUUGUUGUUUUCGUGUACUGUAGGUUCUUUCUGGUAUGGGAUCACAGUCACAAAAUGUUGUUCAUGUCCUCGCUGCAUUAAGAAAUUUCACAAUGUCUCAGAAGGAAAAAACUUUGGAUGAGCUGGUGCAGGACAAUUGCCUUCGUUACAUAGAAGAUGAUAAAAUAGGACUUGGUGUCAGGUAUUGCCUUGAUUUGCGGAGUUGGUUUUGCAAUCUGGAUGUUCCUUCCUGUGAAGUGUGCAAUGAAGUUGUACUGAAGGGAGAAUUGUGCCAAACCAAAGGUUGCCUCUCUUGAAUUCAUCACUACUGCGUGAAGAACAAAAUAGGGGCGAAGUAGUUUGUCCAAGUUGUGCCAUGCAUUUUACACUUUUUUUUGCUAUAUUGCUGAUGUUGAGCUCUUUUAUGAGCCUUGGAGAUGCGUAGUGAUUCUUCCGUAUGUGUGUGAAUGAAUUAUGCCAAUUGCUUCCAUAGAGGAUGAAGUCUGGGUAAUCAUUGUUUGUUGCAUGAUAUUGCUGAAAUUUGAAAUAAUGGUUUUAAUUGAUUUUCUUGAAUUUGCAGCUGUAUAGGUAGUAUACAUAGAAAAUAUAAUUUUUCUUUUGAUGGUAUAUCAAUUUCCUUGUAGCAACUCAUUUCAUCUUAAUAUCAAGUUUCAGCCACUUGAGUUA